ensembl:snoRNA
UGGUCAUUUACCAAAGCUCUCAGGAUCCUAUGUUCCUGAUUUGCUGUGGAGUUGACCACAAAGCAAAUGUCAUUCCUGUGGGCUUCUGGGUCUCCAGAGGACUCGCAGGAAACAAGC